GGGAGGUAGACCAGACAGGUCUGAGGUACUGUAGAGAUACAGGGAGGCAGACCAGACAGGUCUGAGGUACUGUAGAGAUACAGGGAGGUAGACCAGACAGGUCUGAGGUACUGUAGAGAUGCCUGGAGGCAGACCAGACAGGUCUGAGGUACUGUAGAGAUACAGGGAGGUAGACCAGACAGGUCUGAGGUACUGUAGAGAUGCCUGGAGGCAGACCAGACAGGUCUGAGGUACUGUAGAGAUACAGGGAGGUAGACCAGACAGGUCUGAGGUACUGUAGAGAUGCCUGGAGGCAGACCAGACAGGUCUGAGGUACUGUAGAGGUGCAGGGAGCCUGGAGGCAGACCAGACAGUGGUUUAGACAACACUCUAUCAUCACUCCUCACUGUCCUGUGGAGCAUCAACCAUGGGAACACU